CUUAUCUCUCUCUCCUCUCUCUUUCUCCCUGUAUCGCUACUUCCCCCUGCUACACCCGUGAAUACCGACCAUUAACAUUGAAAUUCAUUCUUCCCCCUUUUGAAUAUACCACCAUCGAAGUAUCUUUCUGUCUGUAGAACCCCAAAAGAAAAACCUAAUGGUCGUUGCAGCUGGUCCGAUCUCCUUGGUGUCUGUAAGAAGAGGAAAUCAAGAAAUUAUCAUGGGUUUUCAUUAUUGAGAGUUAAGAAGAGGAAUUUGAAAUUGAUUCUCAAAUUACAGGGAAGGAAUUAGAGGAUUAGGUUUCGUUUUACGUCUAAGAUUAAGAAGCUAAUUGAGAAAAUUAGGGUUUUGUUUGUGCUACAAAUCGAAGAAUUAAACGGAAUCAAUAAAUGGGUUUGUUUUAAUUAGGUUUAGAAUUGGUUUAUUAAUGGAUUCGAGUUUUAUGGAUUAGGGUUUCUAAUAGAUUGGGGAUUUAGGGUUCAUGGAUUUGAAUUAUAGAUGAAAAAGAUGAAACUGAUGGUGAGAAAUUAUAAGAAGAAAAUUGAGUUUGUGUCUGAGGAAAAAGUUUUUAUAGGAGGAUAAUUGUUGCAGGUGGUGGUGGUUUAAUGAGCUACAGAACUAUGAAGAUUGUGAUGGAGAUGGAAUUGAAAUAAUAGUUCGGUUGGUGUGGUCUUGAAUGAGCUACGACAGUUGAUCUUAGUUUGGUUUAGAUUGUAAUGAUUUGAAUGGUGAUGAUGAGUAUUGGUUGUGCUGAGAUGCUUUUGAUGAUGAUGCUAUGGUCAGUCAUAAUGGUUGUGACUGAAAGAUAUUGAAAUGAAUAAUGUUGCUGCUAUGAAGAUGGUGGUUUAAAUGUCUAUGUGGCUGAAUGAUAGUGAUUUGAAGGAAUGACGCUAAUCUGAAGAGAUUUGAAAUGUUCAUAAAUUUUAGAUCAAGAUCUUGAAACAUGAGUGGCCAGCUAGGUGGUGAAAUUUUAUUCCGGAUCUUGUUUUAGUAGCGAAGACAAGUGAAACACUAUGUUAGAAUUUCAUGGUUGUAUUAAAGCUUCUCAGUGAAGAGAUGUUGGAAUUUUCACCUGGUGCAAUGAUUCAGCAGAAGAUCAAAGAGCUAAAAUAAUCAUUGAAUAGUUUUGAUGGCAUUGCUAUUCUCAUUGUUAUGUUACAUCAUCAUGUGUCUACGGGGUUAUUUAUCGAAUAGAAAAGUUGUGAUUGUACAUAUGUUAGAAAAAUGCCUUGGACGCCUAAUCGGCUUCGUUAUCAUUAGUUUACCCUAUCAUCUGUGUUAGCUAAACACAGUUAUUAUGAAUGAAUUCUGUAGUUGGUCUACGUCGCAUGGUUUGUUUUUCUCUUAUCAUAGCUUACAUACACAUUUUUUCUUGCAGUGAGUUUCAACCUAUUCACGAGCUAUGCCUAUAUGUGCUAUCCGCAUCUCAAAGAACUGAGCUAUAAGAGCAACACUGGCUACGUUGCACGCUUUCCUUUCAUGGUUUCCUUUGGGCUACAUAUUUGAAUCCCCACUGGUUUGCGCACUAAUUACUAGACUGUUGCCAUUUUUUGUUUCAAAUAAUGAAAAUUUAGAACGAUAAAAAAAAGUUCAUGUCUAAUAAAACACUAUCUUUUAAUCAAUCCUGGCGUCUCUUCCUUCCAAUCUUCUGUAGGCUAAUUGACUAAUGUAUUUUUCUUUUCCUUUUUCGUGGGUAUAUUAUAGCUAAAGACACUUUUGAAUUUCUUUCCGUGGCAGGGUGUGGCAGCAUAUAGGAAUCUUACUCUUCAAUGUUUGUCUGAGGGAUGGAGUUUGAGUCUAAUAUAUUGAGUUUAAUGCUGGAGAUGAGGUGGCGGUGUUCAGUUCAUGUAGUAAACAUGCUUAUAUUUCCCAGCAACUCAAGACUGAGAGCAUCACUAGUCAGCUCUUCCUUCUUCACUGGGCUUAGCAGAAGCACAUGAUCCCUCCAUUGUAGAGACACUACUUCCAAAACACAUAAGGUCUUAUUUUCGUAGUUGAAAGCAAUGACAGAGACCGUGUUACUGAGGCAAGGGAUGAACUGCAGACGAAGUUUAGUGAGGCUUUUGUGAAGUUUGUCUAACCGAUAGAAGUGGCAUUUUCUUACUUCAGUUAGUGUUUUUAUCACCUUGCUUGGUGCUGACUUCAUGAGAAUGAAAUCUUUCGGCAAAGUUGAAGAGUUUGCGGAGACUUUGGUUAGUAAACUAGAUAGAAGUUGGAAAAAGGGCAUCUGCAAGACUUACCGCAUGCAAAAUUCUCAAACAUAGGUAGAAGAUAACGGAGAAGAACAUGAAGAGCAUGGAACCCAAGAAGAAGAGGCUGUUGAUGUCGAUGUUGAUUCUACAGAUGACACUAUUGUUACAAUUCUUUUUGACAAUGGCUACUCUCAUGGUGUACAUUGGUUUUGCAGGUCACAGAUAUGAUUAGUAAGUGCGACUAUUUACAAGGCUGGUUAUGAAGCAACAAGAAGCUAUCCUUGUUUGAGCAUGUAGGUAAUGAAUGCUGAGCUUGUCUCCAGUCUUGUGCCUUUAAGAUUGUACCUACUACUGCUAUUACACUUCACAUUACAACUGCAACUGCAGAAUUUCUAUGUUAUGAAAACUUAGGAAAUGUUUACAUACUUGUCAUUUUUUUGAUACUACGCACAGAAUUUGUAUGUCCUUGGAACUUAAGAAAUAUUUCUAGCUACAGAUUGGAACUUAAGAAAUUUAUUGUAUUGCCUAAGUAGUUCUUUUCAGAGGUAUACAGAAUAAGUCUUUAGUUUAUGAUUUGAUGAGUUGCAUAAGUUCA